rnacentral:rRNA from 1 species
UACGUAGGGUGCGAGCGUUAAUCGGAAUUACUGGGCGUAAAGGGUGCGCAGGCGGCCGAGCAAGUCGAGUGUGAAAGCCCCGAGCUUAACUUGGGAACUGCGCUCGAAACUACUUGGCUAGAGUGUGGCAGAGGGAGGUGGAAUUCCACGUGUAGCGGUGAAAUGCGUAGAGAUGUGGAGGAACACCGAUGGCGAAGGCAGCCUCCUGGGCCAACACUGACGCUCAUGCACGAAAGCGUGGGGAGCAAACAGG